GACGAACGCUGGCGGCGUGCUUAACACAUGCAAGUCGAACGAAGUGGCGAACGGGUGAGUAAUACGUGAGUAACCUGCCCUCCUUUUUGGGAUAAGCCUUGGAAACGGGGUCUAAUACCGAAUAAAGGGGGAUGGGCUCGCGGCCUAUCAGCUUGUUGGUGGGGUGAUGGCCUACCAAGGCGGUGACGGGUAGCCGGGCUGGGAGGGUGAACGGCGAGAUCGGGACGGAGAUGCGGCCGAGACUGCCAAGGGAGGCAGCAGAGGGGACUCUUGCGCAAUGGACGAAAGGCUGACGGGGCAACUCCGGGGGAGUGAUGACGGCCUUCGGGGUGUAAAGCUUGGAUAAUCGGGACGCGGUACCGGAAGAGAAAGCCACGGCUAACUACGUGCCAGCAGCCGCGGUAAUUC
rnacentral:rRNA from 1 species